CGAAAGCCUGACGGAGCAAUACCGCGUGUGGGAGGAAGGCCCUUGGGUCGUAAACCACUUUUCUUAGGGAAGAAGCUCUGACGGUACCUAAGGAAUAAGCCUCGGCUAACUCCGUGCCAGCAGCCGCGGUAAUACGGAGGAGGCAAGCGUUAUCCGGAAUUAUUGGGCGUAAAGAGUCCGUAGGUGGUCUUUCAAGUCUGCUGUUAAAGGCAGAAGCUUAACUUCUGAUAGGCAGUGGAAACUGAAAGACUAGAGUAUGGUAGGGGUAGAGGGAAUUCCCAGUGUAGCGGUGAAAUGCGUAGAGAUUGGGAAGAACACCGGUGGCGAAAGCGCUCUACUGGGCCAAAACUGACACUGAGGGACGAAAGCUAGGGGAGCG
rnacentral:rRNA from 1 species